rnacentral:rRNA from 1 species
AUACGGAGGGAGCAAGCGUUGUUCGGAAUUAUUGGGCGUAAAGCGGGUGUAGGCGGCUCGGCAAGUCGGGUGUGAAAGCCCAGGGCCCAACCCUGGAACUGCACUCGAAACUGCUGAGCUAGAGUCCCGGAGAGGGUGGCGGAAUUCCCGGUGUAGAGGUGAAAUUCGUAGAUAUCAGGAGGAACACCAGUGGCGAAGGCGGCCACCUGGACGGUGACUGACGCUCAGACCCGAAAGCGUGGGGAGCAAACGGGAUUAGAAACCCCAGUAGUCC